rnacentral:rRNA from 1 species
GGCGAACGCUGGCGGCGUGCUUAACACAUGCAAGUCGAACGGAAAGGCCUGCUUUCCCUUGUGGAUUGCGGGUACUCGAGUGGCGAACGGGUGAGUAACACGUGAGUGAUCUGCCCCCAACUUGGGUAUAAGCCUGGGAAACUGGGUCUAAUUCCCGAUAGGACUGCAGGGUGGUGCCUGUGGUGGAAAACGAUUUUCUAGUGGUUGGGGAUGAGCUCGCGGCCUAUCAGCUUGUUGGUGGGGUAAUGGCCUACCAAGGCGGCGACGGGUAGCCGGCCUGGGAGGGGGGACGGCGACAUUGGGACUGAGACACGGCCCAGACGCCGACGGGAGGCAGCAGUGGGGAAUAUUGCACAAUGGGCGGAAGCCUGAUGCAGCGACGCAGCGUGGGGGAUGACGGCAUUCGGGUUGUAAACUACUUUCGACCGAGAGGAAGCCACCUGGUUGGAAGGGUGGUGACGGUAGUGGUAGAAGAAGCACCGGCUAACUACGUG